UCUCUUGCAGAUCUGAUGAAGCACCUUGAGUGCUUUCUGAGUGCUGAAGAAGCCUUGCACCCCGGGGAUAAAGCCCACCGGGUCAUCAUCUGAAGAAGCACAUGGAGUGCUCUCCGAGUGCUGAAGCAGCCUUGCACCCCGGGGAUAAACCCCACUGGGUCAUGAAACACGAGGAGCAGAGACAAAUAAGCAAUCUUUUUCUGUCAAGGCUCAAAUGACAAAUGUCUGGUUCGUGGAACAUCUUACUGUGAAUAACUUUAGUUCAUCUUAUAAAUGUGUUGUGUUCUCGUCGAUAAAUCUAUACUGAAAGGUCAGGGGAGAGCAAGAGAACAAGAGGGCACUGGGUCCUUGAGGGCUGCGAUGUUAGGAAAGGAGGAAGGACACAGGAAGAGAAGCCUGGGAACUAAAGAAACCUUCAAAGGCUUUACAAGCAAGCACAAAUUGUAUAUUCAAUAUUCACUUAGGCAGGGGGUAAAUAAAAGGUCCUCACUGAAGUAUUUCUGGUCUCAUAGCUGCUACAAACAGACUUUUCAAAUUUUAUGAUUUCUUUGCUCAUUGUGGUUGGUAUUGUGUAAAUUUGUAUGACUUUACAUAAAGUCUUCUCUUUGUAUAAAGGAGUUUUGGUCUCAGAUAAUUCAUUAAUUUAGGCUUCUUUGGAUAUACAACAUACAAAUAAAUAAGAACCUGCCUACAGAUUUCCUUCCUCCUUUCUUUCUCUCCCUCCCUUUC